GCUGUGAUGGCCGAGUGGUUAAGGCUUUGAAAUCCAAUGGGGUUUCUCCGCGCAGGUUAGAACCCUGCUCUUAGCG
rnacentral:tRNA from 1 species